rnacentral:rRNA from 1 species
ACGCAUUCUAGAGCCUAAUUCAUUCCAAUUAACAAUUGAAAUUACAUUCAAAUCCAAAUUCUAAAUCCUAGUUCUAAGAUUUAUCCUAAAAUAAAUUUAUUGUAAUCCAUCUCUCCUUCCAUAGGCUGCACCUUGAUCUGAUUUACAAUAUAACUAUAUGUCAGAAUUAUAUAUUUUCAAAAAUAAUUUACAACGACGAUAUACAAGCAAAAUGAAAGUUUUAUUAAUCGUGGAUUAUCGAUUACAGGACAGAUUCCCCUGAUUGGAAUAAAAAACCGCCAAAUUUUUUGAUUUUAAAGAACAUAACUUACAUUUAUCAGGUCUUAAUUCUCCACAUCUAGAAUAAUGGGGUAUCUAAUCCCAGUUUAUUACCCAGAUUUCUCAACCUCAUAAUCAAAAAUUUAGUUAAAUAGAAAAUAGGAUUUCACCCAAUAUUUCACCAAAAUAAAAAUUAAUUAUUAUUAAUUAAGAAUAAACCGAAAAAAAAUAAUAGCAUUAUUUGUUUAACCGCA